rnacentral:rRNA from 1 species
GAACGCUGGCGGUAUGCUUAACACAUGCAAGUCGAACGAAUUUGCUUGGAGCUUGCUUCAAGUAAGUUAGUGGCAAACGGGUGAGUAACGCGUGGGAAUCUACCCAUCAGUACGGAAUAACAUUUGGAAACAGGUGCUAAUACCGUAUGUUCUCUACGGAGGAAAGAUUUAUCGCUGAUGGAUGAGCCCGCGUAAGAUUAGGUAGUUGGUGGGGUAAUGGCCUACCAAGCCGACGAUCUUUAGCUGGUCUGAGAGGAUGAUCAGCCACACUGGGACUGAGACACGGCC